AGGGUUCGAUUCUGGCUCAGGAUUAACGCUGGCGGCGUGCCUAAUACAUGCAAGUCGAGUGGUAGUAGCAAUACAAACCAUGGCGAACGGGUGAGUAACACGUAGGUAACCUGUCUUUAAGACGAGGAUAACCAUUGGAAACGAUGGAUAAUACUGGAUAGGACAUCACAAAGGGCAUCCUUAGAUGUUUAAAGAUUAUUAUGUCACUUAGAGAGGGGCCUGCGGCGCAUUAGCUAGUUGGUGAGGUAAGAGCCCACCAAGGCGAUGAUGCGUAGCCGGACUGAGAGGUUGAACGGCCACAAUGGAACUGAGAACGGUCCAUACUCCUACGGGAGGCAGCAGUAGGGAAUUUUCGGCAAUGGGCGCAAGCCUGACCGAGCAACGCCGCGUGAACGAAGAAGUUAUUCGUAAUGUAAAGUUCUUUUAUCUGGGAAGAAAAAACAAAUUGACGGUACCAGAUGAAUAAGCUCCGGCUAACUACGUGCCAGCAGCGGC
rnacentral:rRNA from 1 species